GCCUUCGUGGUGCAGUGGUCAGCACACUGGGCGCGUAUUCCAGAGUUUUGUGGUUCGAGUCCCGGCUAGGGCA
rnacentral:tRNA from 1 species